rnacentral:rRNA from 1 species
CCUACGGGAGGCUGCAGUCGAGAAUCAUUCACAAUGGGGGAAACCCUGAUGGUGCGACGCCGCGUGGGGGAAUGAAGGUCUUCGGAUUGUAAACCCCUGUCAUGUGGGAGCAAAUUAAAAAGAUAGUACCACAAGAGGAAGAGACAGCUAACUCUGUGCCAGCAGCCGCGGUAAUACAGAGGUCUCAAGCGUUGUUCGGAAUCACUGGGCGUAAAGCGUGCGUAGGCUGUUUCGUAAGUCGUGUGUGAAAGGCGCGGGCUCAACCCGCGGACGGCACAUGAUAUUGCGAGACUAGAGUAAGGGAGGGGGAACCGGAAUUCUCGGUGUAGCAGUGAAAUGCGUAGAUAUCGAGAGGAACACUCGUGGCGAAGGCGGGUUCCUGGACAUUAACUGACGCUGAGGCACGAAGGCCAGGGGAGCGAAAGGGAUUAGAUACCCGAGUAGUC